rnacentral:rRNA from 1 species
AUCGGUUUAGAAAUAGACCUUCCUUCGGGCAAUUUUCAAGGUGCUGCAUGGUUGUCGUCAGCUCGUGCCGUGAGGUGUUAGGUUAAGUCCUGCAACGAGCGCAACCCCUGUCACUAGUUGCUAGCAUUAAGUUGAGGACUCUAGUGAGACUGCCUACGCAAGUAGAGAGGAAGGUGGGGAUGACGUCAAAUCAUCACGGCCCUUACGCCUUGGGCCACACACGUAAUACAAUGGCCGGUACAGAGGGCAGCUACACAGCGAUGUGAUGCAAAUCUCGAAAGCCGGUCUCAGUUCGGAUUGGAGUCUGCAACUCGACUCUAUGAAGCUGGAAUCGCUAGUAAUCGCGCAUCAGCCAUGGCGCGGUGAAUACGUUCCCGGGCCUUGUACACACCGCCCGUCAAGCCAUGGAAGUCUGGGGUACCUGAAGUCGGUG